rnacentral:lncRNA from 1 species
AAUAUAAUUUUAUUAUUUUCAAUUUUUUAUAUAUAUAUAUAUUUUUUCUUUUUUCUGAAUAUUUGUUGUUUUUUUUGUUUUUUAAAUUUUAAAAGAAAAAAUAUUUUAAAACCUCAUAAAUUUUGUUUAUGAACAAUUAUGAGAGAUUUUAGAAAUUUGAAUAAUUUUUUUGAUGAAUUAUUUAUUUUAUGAACAAUUAUGAUUUAUAGAGAUAUGAUUCAUAAAUAUUUUAUUUUAU